UCCAAACACGACUGGGGUUGCCAGACUGAUAGCUCUUUUCUGAUUUUCUGGGUCGUGGUCCAUGGCCGUUCCUACUUGUUGGAGUGAUUGGUCUGGUAAUUCCGUAAACGAACGAGACCUAAACUGUAAUAGUCCUUUUGUCCUAAACAGGAGGUACUUCUAGCAGGGACUAUCGGAGUCAAGCCGAUGGAAGUUUGAGGCAAUAACAGGUCUGUGAUGCCCGUAGAUGUCCUCGGCCGCACGCGUUAUACAAUGAUUUGUGCAGAUAGUAUAUCCUGGCUCGGAAGAGUUUCGGGUAAUCUGUUUAAUGCAAGUCGUAUUAGGGAUCGAUCUUUGCAACUAUAGAUCUUGAACAAGGAAUACCUAGUAAGUGCAAGUCAUCAGCUUGUACUGAUUACGUCCCUGCCCUUUGUACACACCGCCCGUCGCUCCUACCGAUUUCGAGUGAUAAGGUGAACCUUCUGGACCGCAGGGGUUUACUCUUGUGGGAAGUUAAGUGAACCUUAUCACUUAGAGGAAGGAGAAGUCGUAACAAGGUUUUCGUAGGUGAACCUGCAG
rnacentral:rRNA from 1 species